rnacentral:rRNA from 1 species
UACGUAGGGUGCGAGCGUUAAUCGGAAUUACUGGGCGUAAAGAGUGCGCAGGCGGCUCUCUAAGACAGGUGUGAAAUCCCCGGGCUUAACCUGGGAAUGGCGCUUGUGACUGGAGAGCUAGAGUGUGGCAGAGGGGAAUGGAAUUCCUGGUGUAGCAGUGAAAUGCGUAGAUAUCAGGAGGAACACCGAUGGCGAAGGCAGUUCCCUGGGCCAACACUGACGCUCAUGCACGAAAGCGUGGGGAGCAAAC